rnacentral:tRNA from 1 species
GAGGGUAGAGCUCAGUGGUAGAGCACAUGCCUAGCAUGCAUGAGGUCCUGGGUUCAAUCCCCAGUACCUGUG